AGAGUUUGAUCCUGGCUACAGAAUCAACGCUGGCGGCGUGCCUCAGACAUGCAAGUCGAACGAUUAAAGCUCUCUUCGGAGAGUGUAUAGAGUGGCGCACGGGUGAGUAACACGUAAGUAAUCUACCCUCGAGUGGGGAAUAACAACCGGAAACGGUUGCUAAUACCGCAUAAUGCAGCGGCACCGCAAGGUGACAGUUGUUAAAGAUUUAUCGCUUGAGGAGGAGCUUGCGGCAGAUUAGCUAGUUGGUAGGGUAACGGCUUACCAAGGCUACGAUCUGUAACCGGUCUAAGAGGACGGUCGGUCACACUGACACUGAAUAACGGGUCAGACUCCUACGGGAGGCAGCAGUCGGAAUUUUGGGCAAUGGGCGAAAGCCUGACCCAGCAACGCCGCGUGAAGGAUGAAGUAUUUCGGUAUGUAAACUUCGAAAGAAUAGGAAGAAUUAAUGACGGUACUAUUUAUAAGGUCCGGCUAACUACGUG
rnacentral:rRNA from 1 species